GCUUACGGCCAUACUACCCUCAGCACGCCCGAUCUCGUCUGAUCUCGGAAGCGAAGCAGGGAUGGGCUAAGUUAGUACUUGGAUGGGAGACCACCUGGGAAUACCAGUGGCUGUAAGCU
ensembl:rRNA 5S_rRNA 5S ribosomal RNA